AACUGUACUGACACUCCAGAGAGUGGAAAUACAAAGUUAUGCGAAAUACCAUUUGAGCUCUCGGUAACUUGUCAAUCUAACUGCAAUGAUUAACUGCUGUACGUUUCGGUUGAGUUAACUGUAUAUAGUGCGUUUGCGCUAGAUAUAGAUCUAUGUCUUUUAGGGUCUUUUAGGCUGGUAAACGUUUAAUCAUCAUCACUUUUUACAUUCCAGUCAGCAGUAAAGAAACUACACGAAAGUGUCUCUGAAAAGUUUGCCCCUGAUCAGUUGUAUAACUCUCAGCAGAAUCAGAACGUUGCAGAUUUCCUCUUCACUCAACUAGGAAUUUCCUGAGCCAUAUGAUAGGCUUCUUAAACUUGUGUUAUACAUUUAGUAUGGAAUGCAGGUACAAUUCACCGCUACUAUGAGUCUCGCCGCCGUACUUUUAAUGAUAGCCAGUCUAGGCUGGCUAGACGUCUUGCAUCUGUCGAAGAAAAUAAGAGGCGAACCCAGAAAAUUGGCUUCCAGAGAUUAUAGUUGGUUGAGUAUAGUAGCUAUCAGUCUGUAGAAUUUCCCUCUUCCUGUGCAUGCAAGGCCCUACAAAAAUGUUGCCCAUUUGCCCAUUUGAAUCAACGUUUUCCACCAUGCAGCCUUAAUUUAAUAUUCUGCAUUUUAUAGCUCUAUGCAUUUUAUAGCAAAUAAGGGCAAAAGGGAGAUGGUCUUCAAUUGAUGCAUGACGGAUGAAUCAGACUCUGAUGAAGAAAAUGUCAGCACAAGCAACAGUGGAGAUCUCAAGGUAUAUCACAUGAGAGCUAGACGGUCUGAUACAUCAAUUAGAGGAAAGAGAAAUUCUGAUAGAAGAGCUGGGAGGUACACAAAGAAGCGGAGAAGAUUGUCAUCAUUGUCAUCCCAGCUGCCUCCUGCAGGAGUACCAUCUUGGGCGAUCACUGAUGUUGCUCAUUCUAGUCAGAAUGGCACUCCACAAGGGGAAACAGGUGUAGGUGCUACUGCAAGGAGGGUGAUCGCAAAUCAGCUGCAUCAACUCCUUAUAGCUUGUGACAGGUACUCCUGCUGUGAGAAUUAUUAAUUGAAUUGAUUGAAAGAGAAUGGGGGCGGGAUUACACAUGUGCAAUAACAAAAGUCAAUUUAGGCGCCAUUGCAUGCUUGCACCACAUGGUUUUUGAACCAGCUAGCUAGCUGGCUGUACUGCACUGUGUAGCUGUAGGAUCUAGGAUCAGGCGCAGCAUAGAUCUAUGGAUCAGGACAGUCACUGUAAUAAUAGGUAAGCUCACACUGGUAGCAAGGAAAGGUUUGGUCUAUGCCUACCCUAGCCUAGCAAGGUGUACAUGUAGUCUAUGUGUAUCUAUAUACCAUGUAUAAAAUUAGCAUAAUUAGCAUACCCAUUCUGUUCUAUGUUUGUCAAGGUGAUUUAUCUUUAGGCAGGGGGGUUCUGUGUGCGUCUGUAUGUGUGUAUGUUCUGUUCUGUGUGUGUCAAGAUGUGUCGUCCUUGGGCAACAACCUGGGUUCUGUGUGUGUGUUCUGUGUGUGUGUAUGUUCUGUUCUGUGUGAGCCUUGGUUGUCAAGAUGUGUCGUCUUUGGGCAACAACCUGUCGUGUCGUCUUUAGGCAGGGGGGUUUUGUGUGUGUGUAUGUUCUGUUCUGUGUGAGCCUUGGUUGUCAAGAUGUGUCGUCUUUGGGCAACAACCUGUCAAGAUGUGUCGUCUUUAGGCAGGGGGGUUCUGUGUGUGUGUAUGUUCUGUUCUGUGUGAGCCUUGGUUGUCAAGAUGUGUCGUCUUUGGGCAACAACCUGUCAAGAUGUGUCGUCUUUAGGCAGGGGGGUUCUGUGUGUGUGUAUGUUCUGUUCUGUGUGAGCCUUGGUUGUCAAGAUGUGUCGUCUUUAGGCAGGGGGGUUCUGUGUGCGUCUGUCUGUGUGUAUGUUCUGUUCUGUGUGAGCCUUGUUCUGUGUGAGCCUUGGUUGUCAAGAUGUGUCGUUUUUGGGCAACAACUUGUCAAGAUGUGUCGUCUUUAGGCAACAACCUGUCAAGAUGUGUCGUCUUUAGGCAGGGGGGUUCUGUGUGCACCUGUCUGUGUGUAUGUUCUGUUUUAUGUGAGCCUUGGUUGUCAAGAUGUGUCGUCUUUAGGCAGGGGGUUCUGUUCUCUGUGAGCCUUGGUUGUCAAGAUGUGUCGUCUUUGGGCAACAACCUGAAGAUGUUCUUUAGGUAGGGGGGUUCUGUGUGUGCGUUCUGUUCUGUGUGAGCCUUGGCUGUCAUUGUUUUUGCAUUCAGGUACUAGUUGGGGUGCAAUUUUACGUACUAACAGGGAUAUUGAAAUAACGUUGACCUUAUUUUAGCAAAAUGUUCUAGUUACUUUUCUUAUUUCCCCCUUCUACUUGUAGAUACAUUGUGCCUCAUUUGGAAACGUGCCAGAGAAGUGUGUGUACUGCUCUCUCAAACACGAAGCACUUUUGUUGUAGAUUAACAGCUGAAUUUUAUCUCGAUACAGGCCAGCAUCAGCCAUUGUUGCACUGCCAUUAACAGGCAACUAAAGCUAUAGGUGAUUCAACCACUGCAGUUCAAAUGGCACGGCAAGUAAUAUUGUUACAUAAUGUUGGUUUUGCAUACAGGUAUAUACAGUGCUAAUAACAUGGCGAUGAACAGGUAUCUCCUGAUAUACAGUGCUAACAAUUCAACAUGGCGAUGAACAGGUAUCUCCUGGGUUCUGAUCACUUCCAACACUUGAUCUUCUUGUUUCCCUUCAGAACUUGAACGUUUACAACUACCAGCUAGUUAAUAAUAGUGUAUAAUUAUACGUUGAACAAUUAUUAAUAUGAGAU